UGGGGAAUAUUGCACAAUGGGCGAAAGCCUGAUGCAGCGACGCCGCGUGAGGGAUGACGGCCUUCGGGUUGUAAACCUCUUUCAGCAGGGAAGAAGCGAAAGUGACGGUACCUGCAGAAGAAGCGCCGGCUAACUACGUGCCAGCAGCCGCGGUAAUACGUAGGGCGCAAGCGUUGUCCGGAAUUAUUGGGCGUAAAGAGCUCGUAGGCGGUUAGUCGCGUCUGCUGUGAAAACUCGAGGCUCAACCUCGGGCUUGCAGUGGGUACGGGCUGACUAGAGUGCAGUAGGGGUGACUGGAAUUCCUGGUGUAGCGGUGGAAUGCGCAGAUAUCAGGAGGAACACCGAUGGCGAAGGCAGGUCACUGGGCCGCAACUGACGCUGAGGAGCGAAAGCAUGGGGAGCGAACAGGGUUAGAUACCCUGGUAGUCCAUGCCGUAAACGUUGGGCACUAGGUGUGGGGUCCAUUCCACGGAUUCCGUGCCGCAGC
rnacentral:rRNA from 1 species